ensembl:lncRNA
GUAACUUUCCAAAUUAUUUCAAGAAUAACAGCUUUUGAGGAACUCUAUGUAUGCAAAAUUCCAACUAUUUCAGCAAAGACCUGUCAUUCUUCUAAGAGUCAAGAACAACACCUUAACUGGUCACGUUCCCGUUGCGACAGCUCCAAAACUGCUUUCAGCUUCCACAAGUCACCAGAUGACAGAAGACAAGCUGUGUAUUUCUCAAUAGGCACAAGAACUUGCAUAGUGGUGUGCUGACUUUAUAGUUGAAGGUUUGAACUCAGCACUAAUCUCCAGGGAAACUUCAACAUGAAAUUCAUCUGCCACUGCACAUCCCAGGCAUGAAGCACAGCCCUCACCAUUUGUUACUUUGGUUAUUUGAAAUCAGAAUUUCUGAAAUUUGUUUUCUUCUUUGACGUCCAUUUUUGUCUUCAUUAUGUUGGUGCAAAUGCAAAGAGGAAUGGGCUUACCUGUGUCUGCUGGAAAAAGAUCAAAAAAGCAAAACUCUUCUGCAAAGGUAGCUGACUUGCAAAGCUGCAGCAGGUUGACAAUGUGUCUGAAACAUCUAUUCAACGUGAAAAUAUAAGCUAUGUCAUGCUUCUCUGUGGCAAGGAUGUGCACUAAAGAAGGUCCAUGGACCAGCUAUCUCAAGACAGGGCAUUCCUCACCAAAGAACUCAGGUGACUUUGGAGUUUAUAAUGAUCGUUCAACAUUAAAAACAUUUAUAAAAUGUUAGUACCCUCUUUGAAGAAGGCUUGGAACUGUUUCAUGCAAAACACUGGAAACAUUACAAGAGUUCCUCAGCUCAGUUCAUAAUUCAUGAGCCCAGAUGUAGUUCUGCAUCCUGAAUUCAGUACAGACCCUGGAGGAGGAGGAAGCAGCAGAACUGAAAUGUCAGGUCUAUUGAGCUCUUGGCUGAACUUCUGGUCUCCUAAAGUAGAGGGUGUGGAAGACAUUGGGUCCAUGCCCUCACAGGGUACAGCAAAGAUACAUUCAUAUAAACCUACGUGCAGGGUGCAGUGUUUUCUUUUUCCUGCUAAGACUGCAGAUAGACAGACUUGGUUGGCUCUUAAUAGGUGAGACUUUCUUUUUUCCAGUAAGGUUUUGCCCUCAAGUCCCUGGACAACAUUGUCUUCAUUGUCAGUUUUGUACUUGCAGUUGUGUUCACGCAUAUCUUGCUUGCCUGUUCUUUGCUGCUUUCCAUGCUUUAAUUGCUCAUCCCUCUUUCUGGUUCCGGGAACAGCCAGCGUUACCUCACCUUACCCAAACAGUUUUGAAGUUACUAGCACAAGUAUUUUUCUCACUGAGUUGAAAGAAAGUGUACCACAAAGCAAGGACUUUUUACAAACAGAGAAUGCAAGCAGAAAUUCAGCACAGCUAGCUUUUCCAUUUUCCUGUUUUGGAGGGACAAGAAAAUACUCAGUUUCAUGUGAAUCACAGCAAAACACACAGCUUUUUGCAUCCAUAUGCAGGCUUGAUAUAGGCUGGUUUGUUUAGCAAUAGGGAUCAGUACAUUAUUUUAAGGGCCAAUAUAUUAGUGUAAAAAAAGGAAUCAAUGAGUGCUAGUUCUAAAACUUUCCAUUUCAAGUUUGUUUGGUGUAUGAACAGCCUUGUGUUUUCUCAACGAUUUUGCUUCACAAGAAGCACUGGAGUCAUAAUAGAUUACUUUUGUCUUUGCGUCCACGGGUGGAAGGACUUUUUCCCUGGAUUUCACAUAUAUUGUUUUGGAAAUUGCUCAUUAUGGCCUAACAAGCAAUGGAAGUUUGCCAAAUUGAGGAAAAACAGCUAGAAUUCAGCCAAAAGUCUCUGUGAUUAAGCUGAUGAUGGAAGAAUGGGGAAAAAAGUAAGUGGUCAUAGGACCACCUUAGAUGCAACUGUGCAUACCCAGAGGGACACUAGUGUAUACUAAUGAAUUCUUGGAAAAGAAUGAAUAUGUAUGCCAGUGUACCGCAUAUGUAUGUCUUAACCAUUUAAAUGUAGAACUUGAACUCUGAGAGCAUGUACUUGUUUCGUCAAGUUGCCCAG